rnacentral:rRNA from 1 species
UACGUAGGGGGCAAGCGUUGUUCGGAAUUAUUGGGCGUAAAGCGCGCGCAGGUGGUUUCUUAAGUCUGAUGUGAAAGCCCACGGCUCAACCGUGGAGGGUCAUUGGAAACUGGGGAACUUGAGUGCAGAAGAGGAAAGUGGAAUUCCAAGUGUAGCGGUGAAAUGCGUAGAGAUUUGGAGGAACACCAGUGGCGAAGGCGACUUUCUGGUCUGUAACUGACACUGAGGCGCGAAAGCGUGGGGAGCGAACAGG